rnacentral:tRNA from 1 species
ACCUGGAUGGCUCAGUGGUUGAGCACCUGCCUUGGGCGCAGGACGUGAUCCUGGAGACCCGGGAUUGAGUCCCGCACUGGGCG